GAGUUUGAUCCUGGCUCAGGAUGAACGCUGGCGGCGUGCUUAACACAUGCAAGUCGAACGGGGCCACCAUUUUUGAAGCGAUUAGCUUGCUAAGAGUGGAAAUGUUGGCGGCUUAGUGGCGGACGGGUGAGUAACGCGUGGGUAACCUGCCAUAUACAGGGGGAUAACACUUAGAAAUAGGUGCUAAUACCGCAUAAGCGCACGGAGCUGCAUGGCUCAGUGUGAAAAACUCCGGUGGUAUAUGAUGGACCCGCGUCUGAUUAGCUUGUUGGCGGGGUAACGGCCCACCAAGGCGACGAUCAGUAGCCGGCCUGAGAGGGUGGACGGCCACAUUGGGACUGAGACACGGCCCAAACUCCUACGGGAGGCAGCAGUGGGGAAUAUUGGACAAUGGGGGGAACCCUGAUCCAGCGACGCCGCGUGAGUGAAGAAGUAUCUCGGUAUGUAAAGCUCUAUCAGCAGGGAAGAAAGAAAUGACGGUACCUGACCAAGAAGCCCCGGCUAACUACGUGCCAGCAGCCGCGGUAAUACGUAGGGGGCAAGCGUUAUCCGGAUUUACUGGGUGUAAAGGGAGCGUAGACGGUAAUGCAAGUCUGGAGUGAAAUGCAGGGGCUCAACCCCUGAACUGCUUUGG
rnacentral:rRNA from 1 species